rnacentral:rRNA from 1 species
CAGAGGUCCCAAGCGUUGUUCGGAUUCACUGGGCGUAAAGGGUGCGUAGGUGGUCGGGUAAGUCUGAUGUGAAAUCUCCGAGCUUAACUCGGAAAUGGCAUUGGAUACUAUUCGGCUAGAGGGUUUGAGGGGGGACUGGAAUACUUGGUGUAGCAGUGAAAUGCGUAGAUAUCAAGUGGAACACCAGUGGCGAAGGCGAGUCCCUGGAAAACUCCUGACACUGAGGCACGAAAGCUAGGGGAGCAAACAGGAUUAGAUACCCUGGUAGUCCUAGCUGUAAACGGUGCAUAUUUGCUGUAAAAGGAAUCGACCCCUUUUGUGGCGAAGCAAACGCGUUAAAUAUGCCGCCUGGGAAGUACGGUCGCAAGAUUA